rnacentral:tRNA from 6 species
GCACCUGUAGCUCAGCUGGAUAGAGCGCUGCCCUCCGAAGGCAGAGGCCAGAGGUUCGAAUCCUCUCAGGUGCACCA